rnacentral:lncRNA from 1 species
GCUUAAGGAAGGUUAUUCAAGCAUCUUUGUUCAGAAUAAAUGUUCAAUUUUUAUUACUCUCCUGUAGUGUAUUUUUCAGGGUAUGUAGCUGUGGUAACAAAAUAACAAAAAAAAAAAAAAAAAAAAAAAAGGAAGUAGCUCAAGCAAGGUUUAAGUUUAUUUUUCCUUCACAUAAACGCUCAGAGUAUGCUUGGAAGUCAGGCAGCUCUGCUCAAGUGGGUUUUACAGGGUCCUAGAUUGUUUUCAUUGCUGCCUAGUCAUUGACUCACGUGUUGGCCUCAUCUGCAAAACUGAAGCCAGAAACCACUUGGGCCACCACAGAAUAGAACAAAAAGAUAAAACAAGGGGACAAUCUAUUUCUUUUUCAGGAAGCAACCCAGAAAUUGUAAAUUUCACUUCUCAUUCUCUGUUGGUGAGAACUUACUUGCCUAGCCACACCCAACAUAAAGGGAGUUUGUGAAAUGAAGCAAUCUGGCCACUGCUCUGCUGAAACUUAGGAGGUUAUAAUACUAAGACAAAAGGAAGAACCAAUCCUGUUGGAUAAGUUAUAAUCUCCACCACUUAUUAUUUUAACUUUUAACUUUUGGUUGUGCUUUGUAGACAAAUAACCACAUAACAUUGUUUAUUUAUAGCAUUUACAAUCUUCAAAGCAAUGCUCUAAAGUAGAGCUCUAAAGCUCUACAUGCUUUAGAACCACAGCAGAUUUUUUCACUGAAUAGUGAAAAUUUAUUCAUUUCUUUAUUGCAUACUUGAUAGAUAAUAACCUUAUGUAAUGCUCUAUGGAGGAGUUGAAGAUGGUUCUUGCUCUUCAGAUACUGGACUUUAAUAGGGAAGACAAGGAAGGAAAGAUUCAUCCUGAGAACAGUAGAGAAAGCAGGAAGAUCAAUUUUGAAAAGGCCUUGAAACACAGCCAAGUAAGUUGUUUUGCUAUGUUCUCUUGCUUUUGGGGUGAGGGUGAAAUACCAUGGAAAUGUUUUUAUCAUUUGAGUGUCUUGAUCAUAGUAGUGUUUUUAAAAAUUGUUUUGGUAGUGUUAGGAAAGAUAGGUCUAGCUGAGAAAAAAAAGGGAAGAUAAUUUUAUUGCAAAAACACACAAGUCAGAUAAUAAAAGACUACAGUAGGGGGUUCUUUGUCUUGUAAGUCCCAUAAGAUUUUUUAAAUCAUAGUACUGAACAUCAAAUUUAAUGCAAGCAAGUGGAAUUACUUGACAAGACUGAGAAGAAGGAGUGAGGAAGGUAGUGGAUGUGCUCUGAUGAAUGUAUUGGUUUGCUAGGUCUGCUACAACAAAGUGUCACAAGUUGGAUGACUUAAAUAACAGAAACUUACUGUCUCACAGAUCUGGAGGCCAGAAGUCAAAAUUCAGUGUAUCAACUCGGUUGGUUCUUUCUGAGGGCUGAGAGACAGAUCUGUUCUUGAUCCCUCUUCCUGACUUUGGAUGGCUGCCUUCUCCCUAUGUCUUCACAUCAUCUUCCCUCUAUGCAUAUCUCUGUGUCUAAAUUUCCCCUUUUCAUAAGAACAUCAGCCAUAUUGGAUUUGGGUACACCCUAAUACCCUCAUUUUUACCUUGAUAACCUCUGUAAAGACCCUAAAAAGACCUCUGUAAAGACCUCCAGAUAGAGUCACAUUGUAAGAUACUAGUGGUUAGGACUUCAACAUAUCUUUUGGGGGGAUGCAAUUCAAUCCAUAACACUUGGCUUGUAGCGGCAUAACUGCGACGUUUACAUGGAGUUCUCCCUGUGUACAUGUGUGAGUCCAAAUUUCUUUUCAUAGGGACACCAGUCAUAUUGGAUUAGUGGCCUACACUUCUGCAUUAUGACUUCAACUAAUUAUAUCUGCAAUGACCCUGUAAGGCUCUUUGUGACCCAAAUAAUGUCAUAUUCUGAGGUACUGCGGGUUAGGACUUCAAUAUAUUAAUUUAGUGGGAGAGGUGGGGGAGGCACAAUUCAACCUACAACAAUGAAGAUUCGCCUAAAGUAUUCAUUACUCUAAAAAACUCAAUACAUUUCAGGAAAAUAUAUCACUUAUUCAUGUAUUCAUAAUGAUAUGUGACUUAUAACUCCUUUUAAAUAUGACAAUGAGAGAACAAAAACAUUAUCAAACUCAAUUUUUAUUGAUUCUGCUACUAUGUAUAUGUGGUUAAGACAAGCUAUCCUAAAACAAAAUUUAAUAAAAAGGUCUUAACAAGAAUAACCAAAAUUUCCUUCUUUCUACUUCAAAGCUUCCUUUCAUUAACAUCGCUCUUAAAAGAGAAAUAACACUUGCAGCCUGAUCUCAAUGAUCAACCCGUAUAUUUUGGUUUGCAUCAACACAUCUCUAAUAUACCACUUUAUUGGUGCAUUAUUGUCACUGUACUCAUUAAAUUCAGCUUUUCUCAGUCCUCCUCAUUUUAAUUGGAAAAAAGCUAAAAAAUAUAUUGUUUUGAAAAAUUCAAACACUGUAGAAGAAUACAAUGAAAGGUCCUUUCCCGAGCUCCCUACCUCAAUCCUAAUCUCGUAAACUGCAAACAGCAUAUUGUAACUCCAUCCAGAUGUUUUCUGUGCAUGAAUGGGCAUAUAUAUUUCUUCAUUCCACAUUUUAUUGUAAAUGGGAUUUUGCACAUUGUUUUAUAACUCAUUUUUUUCUACCCAACAAUUCUAGAGCAUUUUUCCACACAGGUACGUAUCAAUCUAACUUACUUCUUUAAAACAGCAGCAGAUAAUUCUUUGUAACAUAUUUAACUUGUGUAAGGAGUUAAACAUGUUGCCAAGGGGAUUUGAUAGCUGAGCAAGGAAAAAGAUACAACCACCAGAUGGCACUAGCACACAGUUUAUUUGAGCAGAGACUGACAGAUUUGACUGGGGGUGAGGGUGGGAGUUGGGGUGAGGACAGGGCCAUUUUCUCAGUGAUAGCAUGAUACCUUCCAAAAGAUAGGGUGCAAAGGCGACUUUCCAGAAGGGACAUAGAGGAAGGUCUGAGGGGAAGCAUUUAGAGGGGGUUAUGUGUCUAGGUGAUGUCACUCAGCAGCAUGGUGGGAGUCCCUGGGCAAAGAACUCUGAGAGAAGCCGUGGCCCCAGCGUGUAUCUAAUCUAUGGGACCUAUGGCUAGCAGAUGUUGGGUGCAGUUUCUCAGGAUGUGCAAAGCAGGCAGGCUCUGAAUGGCUAACAAUCUGCUUUUGGGGGCUAUAUUUUAAAACGACUGGAUGUGUAGAAAUGUAAGUUUGGCAGUAGCAGGUUUUUGAGUUAACAAGUCCCCGCCUGCUGUGAAGAAGUAAACAACACAGAGCCAGGGGCCAUCUUUAACUCAUUUGUGUAACAACUAGCUCCCUAUUGAGAGGCACUUUACGAUUUUUCCCCAGCCAAAAUAAAAAAAGAAAAGAAAAGAAAAGAAGAGUCACAAACAGGUCAAAAGAAAAAUUACGAAUUUAUAUACGACAAAAGUCUAAUUUUAUAAGUAUAAUCAGGACUCAUAGAAAUAAGAAAAAUGAUAAAUUAGCACAGCUGUCUCCAAAAUCAACCUUGAAAACUAUAGAAACGGGAAGAAAUUGGCUGUUGGAAGUAAAAUGAAGAUUGCGAAAAACCCCUGAGAAGAAGGGAACUAGUGACUAGAAGGGUGGGAGGCAGCCAAAGACCACAGCAGUCGCAUGGGGAGGAGGAUGUCCCUGGAAGCUUGGGAGGCUCUGGAGAGGUUGUGUAUAAUUUUAGCUCUUGUCUCUUGUACUUCACCUGAGAAAUGGGAACCUUUGCUGGCCUCCCAGUGUUGUGAAGCACUACCAGAGAAGCACGAGGCCAGGCUAAUGAGGAGCUGAUAGAAACAGGACUAGGAUGAAUUGUACCCUGGAAUGUUCAGGCCUCCAACUCCUGUCAGCAGAGGUUACUGCUCCCUGGAGCUUUCUCCUCUGAAACUUAACCCUUCUGCUUUCCUCAAAUUCUCAAAAAAGGGUUCAGUUGAGAAUGUGUCUUUGAGCACUUCCCUAAUACACAACACAGAGCAGUAUAGCUGAUUUCAUCAGUAAAUUAAUGUGAUGCUACAGGUACAAAGAAACUAGGUACCUGUAUUAGUCCAUUUUCACACUGCUAUAAAGAUACUACCUGAAACUGGGUAAUUUAUAAACAAAAGAAGUUUAAUUGACUCACAGUUCUGCAUGGCUGAAGAAGCCUCGGGAAAUUUAUGAUCAUGGCAGAAGGUGAAGGGAAGCAAGGCACAUCUUACAUGGUGGCAGGAGAGAGAGAGAGCGCAAGCACAGGAAAUGCCAGACACUUAUCAAACAACCAUGUCUCAUGAGAACUCCUUCACUAUCACAAGAACAACAUAGGGGAAACUGCCCCCAUGAUCCAAUCUCCUCCCAACAGGUCCCUCCCUCAACAUGUGGGGAUUACAAUUUGAGAUUAGAUUUGGGUGAGGACACAGAGCCAAAUGAUAACAUUCCACCCCAGCCCCUCCCAAAUCUCAUGUUAUUUUCACAUUUCAAAACCAAUUAUGCUUUCCAAACAUUUCCCUGAAAACUUAACUUAUUCCAGCAUAAUCUCAAAAAUCCAAGUCCAAAGUCUCAUCUGAGACUAAGCAAGUCCUUUCUGCCUAUGAGCCUGUAAAAUCAAAAGCAAGUUAGUUACUUCCAAUAUAAAAUGGGGGUACAGGCAUUGGGUAAAUCUUCUCAUUCCAAAUGGGAGAAAUUGGCCAAAAUAGAGAGGCUACAGGCCCCUUGCAAGUCUGAUACUCUGAUACCCAGCUGGGCAGUCAUUAAAUCUUAAAGCUCCAAAAUCUCCUUUGAAUAAAGAGAUGGAAAAUACAAAACAAAAAUACAAAAUAUAAAACAUGAUGCAAGGCAGUGUACAGCUUCUGUGGCUGUUUUCACGAGCUAGUGUUGAGUGCCUGCAGCUUUUCCAGGAGCACAGUGCAAGCUGUCAGUGGUAGCAGGAGCACAGUGCAAGCUGUCAGUGGAUC